UUACACACUUCUUUGUUAUAUUAAUCUAAAGAUCUGUAUACUUUUUGGUUUUGAUUCAAAAUUUUAUUUUAGUGAUAUUUAUUUUUUUGUAAAAAAAAACAAGGUGGGGGUUUCACAUGUCCCGCCAUGUCUCAAAAACAAUAUAUGGUUAUUGCUUUAAACUUUCUCAGAAACUAUUUAUGAUUAUUGCAUAAAACUUCCACACAAGACGUCGGGCGUAUCAUGCUAAGAUAUGAAUAAGAAUAAUUCUGCAUUCAAACAUUGUGCAAUUUGUAUUCCAGGGA
rnacentral:lncRNA from 1 species